rnacentral:rRNA from 1 species
CAAUAACAUGUAGCAUGGGAUAAUGGAAUAGGACCCUGUCCUCCUAUUUUCAGUUGGUUUUGGCAGCGCGAGGACUAGGGUAAUGAUUAAUAGGGAUAGUUGGGGGCAUUAAUAUUUAAUUGUCAGAGGUGAAAUUCUUGGAUUUAUGAAAGAUUAACUUCUGCGAAAGCAUCUGCCAAGGAUGUUUUCAUUAAUCAAGAACGAAAGUUAGGGGAUCGAAGACGAUCAGAUACCGUCGUAGUCUUAACCAUAAACGAUGCCGACCAGCGAUUAGGAGACGUUGAAUACAAAACACCACCAUCGGCGCGGUCGUCCUUGGCGUCUCGCGUUCGCGCGCGGCGCGAGGGCGGCUUACCCCGGUGGCACCGGUGAAUGACUCCCCUAGCAGCUUGUGA